rnacentral:lncRNA from 1 species
AGCUGAACAGUGGAGGGAAGCUCGGGUCUUUUCCUAGCCUCGGGUAGUCGUGAGCGAGAAUCUGACGGGCAGAGCUGGUAUGGGCUAUAUGGCAGCAAGAAUCGGGGUGGUCACGGGAGGGAGCCGCGUCCCACUGCGUUGGCUCCACGCGCGCGGUGCUGCGGAUCAGAUUCCUUCGAGAUGGCACAGCUGCACGGGGUGCGGCGUCAGCGAAGCACUGGUUCUUAUUUUAAAUUGGCUGGUGGAAACACUACAGCAAAAAAAAAAAAUUGGCUGAUGGAGAGAAGAAAGAGAAACAUGACAGAGGAAAACUCUUCGCGAAGAGUCACACACUCUUAGAGUCAGACUCUUUUACCGUUAACGAAGUCGCAUUUAAUGUUAACACAUUAUUUGAGUCAGUUUAAAGACGCAAGUCAUUGCACGUGUUAUUUAACCGUUGACUCUUGAUGAUGUACCGACUCUCCAAUUGCGGAUGCUCUGAGUCGGGUGUGCGCUGACGCAGCAUAUGCAUCUGGCUCUUUGCCAUGCAACUUACUAAUCGGGCCGUUCCAAGGAGGCAAGGACGCGCAUACUUUCGAGGCAGCAAAAGUGGCAU